UGUCCACAAAGACUCCAUUUUUCUGUUUUUGGAUAUGACUCUUCGUCUUAUUUAAAAACUUUCUAUGAUUAGUAUUUUUAUUAUUAUUAGAUGAUAAAACAUGAAUAAUAAUUUAUGCAUGACUAUUUUUUAAAACAAUUUUUAUAAUUUUUUUAAAUAAGAUGAACGGUCACACAUUGGAGACAGAAACC
rnacentral:pre_miRNA from 1 species